UUGUGCAUUUUCAGAACAGCACGCUGUGGAUGAGCUUCUCCAGUUGUCAGCGAAGGGAGGUGACAUCGAUGGACAAGUGUUGGCUUACCUCGAGCUUGCACAGUUCCACAAUGCUAAGCAACUAUCAGCUUGGUGUCUCCAUCACAUCUGCACAAAUUACAAUAGCAUCUGCCGCAAGUUCCCCAAAGAAAUGAAGGUCAUGUCUCCAGAUAACCAGAGGCACUUUGAGAAGCAGCGCUGGCCUCCUGUGUGGUUCCUGAAGGAGGAGGACCGCUAUCUGCGCUCACAGAAAGAGCGCGAGCGUGAGGAGGAGAUCUUACGCAAGCAGCACACCAAACGGGGCUGGUGUUUCUGGAAACAUUCGUCCUCCUCUCCCCACGUCUCCUAAACGGUUUCUCCCAUACUGUUCUUCAUCCUGACCCGGAUCAUCCUACCCCUGAAUAACUAACGCCCCCUGUAACACAUAUAGAGGAUGUGGCUUUGAGUCCUCUAGCAGUGGCGAAAUGACUCUCAGUGCUACUACGCCUGAAUGUCAGCAUGUUUGGGGGAAUGUAUGUGCCUCUUUAUAAGUGUGGGUGACUUCAUGAGUGCAUUUUGGUAAGCUUGUGUGAAAAGGUAGGAUUUAACUAAAGGGUGUGUCCAUUGAUGUGUGAGUGUAUGUUUGCGGUUGGAAUGAUUGAGUAAUGCUUCCGAGUUUAUGCUUCCCAAACGCCCUGAUCUAUAAGGGCAGCAGCGUUGCAUUGCAGCCCCUUGUCCCCUUCACGAGAGCUCCGCCCCCCCACCAGCACUCACAGUGUCCCAGCCUUUGAGUGAUUGGACAGGGACCAAGGGCUCUUUAUCUCUCUCAGUCUCCUUCCUUCACAUUGACCUUAAUGACUAUACACAUUAACCACUGCUGCUUCUCUCUGGAAGCUUACCUCUGCCUUCACUUCUACGCAGACUGUUAGCUUGCACAUGCAGACUGGUGCAAAAGAUCCUGCGCUCUAAAACCAGCACUGGAAUCCCAGGAACUGACACAUAACAAUGUAAUUAUUAUAAUUUUAAUAUUAUUUGAUCUUUUUAUCUGCACCUUCUUGGACACUUAUCAGGGAAAAUGACACACACUACUCCCAGGAAGUGAACCUUGAUUACCAUUGCAACGAUGGGACUGUGCAUCUGGAGUCUAAGUUUGGUAACCCUAAACCUGUUGGCAAUUCGGGAUGCUCCAGUCAGAAGGCUUGAUCAUAGCUAUUAGCCUCCAGUCUAGUAUUGAAGUGGUCCUUGGUGUCCAUCAUCCACCCCUGCAACUCCCACCGCCUCCUCCUGCUCACCACAUGCGCAUAAAUGAGAAACACAAGCUCUCCUUGGUUGGAUUCACCAAUCUGCACUUCAGAGACAUUCAAAGUGACCACUCUAUAGCAAUGAUGGGGGUAAGGAGGGCUCGCCUUACUCGAUGCCUCUGCCAUUGAGGAAUGAUGGAUGCAGUAUUAAACAAAUGUGCGUGUUACGUCCAUUGCACCUCAGCCAGCCUGCCUUUACACCCCUACACCACUAGGGGCAGCACUGCUCAGGGCCCCGGCCCUAACCUUCGCACUAACAGGAGUUUUUGUGCCUGCGCUUGCGUUUAAGUUAUUAAGUUUAGUAUAACUUAAAUCCUUGCAGAGUGUUGAGAGAAGGCUAAAGCCCAGUGUUAAUAUUGCAUUUUAAAAACGGAGUUAAUGUGACUUCAUUUUUACGUAAUUCUGAAAACCAAAGCUGUGAUUGUUUUGAUCGUUUUCUUUCUCACUUCCCUCUUUUCUGAUUCCCUGCUUCCUAUAGGGAUGGAGGAGAAAAGAGAAAGUGGCUUGUGGGGGAUGGAGGCCGUAUGGUAUUUUAAUCCCUUCUCGUAGUGUUUUCAGCUUGUGGUGUCAGGAGAAAUGUAUAACUGCUGGACAUAACAUAUAACUGGCCUUCCAUUUAUUUUUGCUGGAAUUGAAAAUGGUGCUUAAGACACAAUAAGACAGUGUGCACAUGAACAAACACACAAACAUCGGAUUUUAUGUUCACAGUUUAGCGUGUAUCUAGUUAUUUAGUGUUGACCUGCGAUUAACGGGCAAAAUAUUAAUGAUGGUAUUCAACUGUCAUUGUUUGACCUUACAUUUUCUUCUCCAAAUGCUAGUCUCUAAGAGGUCCUAAUAGGUUGUUCAUUUUAGAAUGUGUAGAUUUCUCAUUUUACAUACAGUGGUAACAAUUUUAAAGGGUUUUAAAUCCUACUGAAUUCAAAAACAUUGGUGUGUUCGGUUAUGCUUCAUUGUUAAACAGGAAAAUGAUAUUACCUGAGAUUGAAUUUGAAAUUGUGAGGUUCCUCUCAAAGGAUUUGAUAUAUUUCUGCAGAUGAAAGCAAAUAUGAUUUUCUCGUUAAGGGUGCUAAUUUCUUUGGGAUUCGUCACUGAAUGUGAAAAUGAGACUUUGCGGCGGCAAGUUUUUCCAUUAGCAUGUUGUUCUAUUUGUGGGUUUGCACCCCUCAGCUUUAGCCAGGCAACGGUAGGAGAUAGAGAGAUGGUGUUAGACAUGUGGUGCAUUCUGACGAUCACCAUGGGAGGUAUGUUAAAGUCAUUGUCGGCUACAGAAAUAGAAGUCAGACUGGAUCCCACGAGACCCAAGUGAGAUUGAGCUGAUUCCUUUCAGAAAAGAGUGAAAGUGGUGGAAAAAUUGAACAAGUCUCAGCCAGCAUUACAUCCAACCUACAUAAUUUGGAUUUACUACUGUUUCAAAUUCAUCCCAUUGCAGUGCUUUGGGAAUUAAGAAAUAAAAUAAAAUAAAGGCUUGGAAAGUUUCUGAUUGACUUCCAUGGGCACCUUUUAGUUUCUAAUAGAAGGGGUGGCUAUUAGCUUUGGCUUAUUGAUGGUUGGUAUGACCCAUUAAGACUCUUCUUGUGGUCCGUGUGCCUUAUAGUUGGACAAAACAAAAAAUUAGAUUGGGAUUUUAGCGAGAUCUUAGUUUAAACACGCAGACAGGUGCUGCAGUGUUUGACAUGAUGGAUACAGUAUACAAUGUUCAUGAUAGUUUAAGAGCUGUAAAACGGAUGACCGUGUUGCUAUAUACACUCUUAGCCAUUAUAGUUCCUGAGGGGAUUUUUGAGCCAACUGGAGCCAUGCCUGUGGACAAUAUUCAGGCCUGCUGCUGGUUUAUAUGCAGACAAAUGGCCUUAAAUGAAACUCUUUGUAGAGUGUAGUACAGUAGGUUCGACUAAUCAUAUAGCCUUGAAUAAGCAUGUUUUCCAGAUUGGUAAUAAGGUGGAUGAACAAUGACACCAUGGUUGGACAUUUCCACUAUUGAUUGAGAGGUAGUGAUAAAAUUGGACUUACAGGUUGAUUCCUAUACUGUAAUUUCAAAACCACUGACUUUGAGAAAACAGCUUUUUAAUGAGCACUGGCUGGCCUGUGUGCUGGAAAAGUGCUACUACUUUAACAUUGUGGUUGAUUUGCAUGGUGGCCUAACUUUGUCAUUAUAAUGACACUUGGUGUUGGAAUGCACUUUCUUCUUUUUUUGUAUAUGACUAUACCUUUCUGUGCUUAGCAUGAAUUGUUCCUUAUGUAAGAUUGUUUUUGAAACCUGAUGAUUGUAGCAUGAUAUUUCCACUUAAGUCUUUCAGAAUUUCCCACAAUUUGCUCAGUGAUGAGCUGAAAAACACGACAAUGUCCAGCUUCUUUACUUAGUUGGUAACAAACCCCACAGUAGCUGUGGCUUUAUGCACAACUCAGUGUUAAGAAAUAAACUCAGCACAGCUCAAGGUAGCAUCACUAAUUAUAAAACAUGCUGGGACAUUUGCUUGAAAAAAAGGCAAUGCAGAGGAUCUGUUGCUGCUGUGCAGCUGUCCCCAUUAUGCUGUUACUGUAUUUACUGCAAUCAGUUAAGCCUGUUCUUCUGAUUUGUAAGAUACUGGGUACAGGGCCAAACCUGAAAACCAUCAUAGCAACAUUUACAUUUAAAUCAUGCUCCGUUAUGCAAAUAUUUUUAAGAAUUUCCCAAAUGGCUAAAGGCCAAGUGUAAUGUCUGGGUUUAGCCUGUAUGUAUACAGUCUAUGGUAAUGACAGAUGAAUGGGGUAAAACAUGAUGUAUGUUUCUGCUGUUAGACAGAUGCAUGAGUAUAUACAGCAGCGUUUCUUAACCUUUGGGCCAGGACCCUAUUUCAGGUCACUUGGUAUGCAUUUGGUGUAGUGGGAUAUUUCUUAAACUAAAAUGAUAAAUAAAUAUUAUACAAUGAAAAUGUUGGGAUAAAGAGACGGGGUCAUGGGCCAGAAAAGGUUAAGAAACCCUGAUAUACAGAGAGGGAGAAACGGAGAUUCUACAUUUGAACUUUUAAACCUUGUUGGCUUUAUUCAGCCCUCAGUUUAUGCUCCACACUGACCCCUACAGACCAAAGCCACACUGAGAGUGGGAGAUAAGGUUUUGGUAUUCAUCCUGAUUGUCUUGUUCUAUCCUAUCACAUCCUUUUUACUGUCACAUUCGCUUUUCUUCCUUCUCCGCAGGCCUGGCUUUCCUUUUUAAAUGUCAGGCCUAGUCAUUGAGAGAACACCUUGUUUUUAGUCUUUGGUGUGUCCUUUCCUGUGCCUUCAGUGAAAUCUCACUCUUUUGGCUCUGUACAGGCUGGCGGCGCUGCACCUGCAGCCUCUUGGGCUCAAAAUAAAGUUGAUCAAGCCAAGAAAUACCCACCUAAGUACAGAAAUAAAAGUAGGCAGCUUUCUUUAAUGUACAUUAUCUUAGCACUGGCUAUUUGGGUCUUAGUGAAAACUUCCAAUUAUGAGACAGAAAUGGAGCUUUAUAGCAUGGUAUUUCAUCUAUGCUAAAGCUGCGCAAUUUAAAUCAUGAAAUGACCAAGAAACCCAGCAAACCAGCAGUUUUAAAAUAAUGUUUUGCACUCUUUCAGGUGCCUGCACUUUCUAUCAUGUAGCUUAAUACAUCAUUUUUGAUAAGUACGUUAAGUCUUUAUAUUUACCAGUUUUCUUCAUCCAAGUAAAAUAUAUUAUUUAUUUUCCAAUUUUGUGUGAUAUAUUUCUCUCUAAGCCAAAUGUAAUAGUUUACCUUAAUGCUUCCACUAUUUAGCAGCAAUGUAUUAAGUUGCAAUCCGGCAUAAAAUCAGAUGGGGAUCAGAUUUGGACUACUGGUUGGAUAAAAGGCAGAUAUUAGCUGUGACAACUAUAUAUAUUAUGCUUUAAUUAUGAUAGUUGUUAUCCAAAGUACAGUACACUGUUGUCAUUUUGAGUCACAGCUGGAUUUAACCAUUCACUUUAUAACUGCCACCACACUGUAUUGAUAUACUAAGCUAGUGUAUGCUGUAUAGGAUUGUAAGCAAAGAAAGGAGAGAGAGAGUGUUUGUAUAGACACACGACGUGUGAUUAAUCCCAGGUCUAUAUACUGUCAUUCUUAAGUGGAACGUGUAAACUGUAUGUAUUGUUACAAACUUUAGUUUCCAUUGACUCAUACAUUGAGUUGUAUUAACAUUUACUGCUUAUAUAAUUGUGUGUAUUACUACAACAACAGGCAAAAGAAAGAACACACCACACUCACAAAACUAUUAAGGGCUUUCAAGAAAACAUACAACAAUCAGAAUGUUUUGCUGCUGUUGCAAAAAUGUUUUGGAACUUCAAAUUUGUAAUAUUUUUCAACCACUGUGAUUUGUACAAAAUUAAAAAUAAGUUAGAAAAAAGUUGUUUUCCUUUUAUGCCAUUUCAGUAUUUUGAUGUUUGACAUGGAUUUUAUUAAACUGUUAAUCUUU